rnacentral:rRNA from 1 species
UUUAUGGAGAGUUUGAUCCUGGCUCAGGAUGAACGCUGGCGGCGUGCCUAAUACAUGCAAGUCGAGCGAACAGACGAGGAGCUUGCUCCUUUGACGUUAGCGGCGGACGGGUGAGUAACACGUGGGUAACCUACCUAUAAGACUGGGAUAACUUCGGGAAACCGGAGCUAAUACCGGAUAAUAUUUCGAACCGCAUGGUUCGAUAGUGAAAGAUGGCUCUGCUAUCACUUAUAGAUGGACCUGCGCCGUAUUAGCUAGUUGGUAAGGUAACGGCUUACCAAGGCAACGAUACGUAGCCGACCUGAGAGGGUGAUCGGCCACACUGGAACUGAGACACGGUCCAGACUCCUACGGGAGGCAGCAGUAGGGAAUCUUCCGCAAUGGGCGAAAGCCUGACGGAGCAACGCCGCGUGAGUGAUGAAGGUCUUCGGAUCGUAAAACUCUGUUAUUAGGGAAGAACAAACGUGUAAGUAACUGUGCACGUCUUGACGGUACCUAAUCAGAAAGCCACGGCUAACUACGUGCCAGCAGCCGCGGUAAUACGUAGGUGGCAAGCGUUAUCCGGAAUUAUUGGGCGUAAAGCGCGCGUAGGCGGUUUUUUAAGUCUGAUGUGAAAGCCCACGGCUCAACCGUGGAGGGUCAUUGGAAACUGGAAAACUUGAGUGCAGAAGAGGAAAGUGGAAUUCCAUGUGUAGCGGUGAAAUGCGCAGAGAUAUGGAGGAACACCAGUGGCGAAGGCGACUUUCUGGUCUGUAACUGACGCUGAUGUGCGAAAGCGUGGGGAUCAAACAGGAUUAGAUACCCUGGUAGUCCACGCCGUAAACGAUGAGUGCUAAGUGUUAGGGGGUUUCCGCCCCUUAGUGCUGCAGCUAACGCAUUAAGCACUCCGCCUGGGGAGUACGACCGCAAGGUUGAAACUCAAAGGAA